rnacentral:rRNA from 1 species
AGUAAUGCUUGGGAAUCUAGCUUAUGGAGGGGGAUAACUACGGGAAACUGUAGCUAAUACCGCGUAGAAUCGGGAGAUGAAAGUGUGGGACCUUCGGGCCACAUGCCAUAGGAUGAGCCCAAGUGGGAUUAGGUAGUUGGUGAGGUAAAGGCUCACCAAGCCGACGAUCUCUAGCUGGUCUGAGAGGAUGACCAGCCACACUGGGACUGAGACACGGCCCAG